rnacentral:rRNA from 1 species
UGCAAGCGUUAAUCGGAAUUACUGGGCGUAAAGCGCACGCAGGCGGUUUGUUAAGUCAGAUGUGAAAUCCCCGCGCUUAACGUGGGAACUGCAUUUGAAACUGGCAAGCUAGAGUCUUGUAGAGGGGGGUAGAAUUCCAGGUGUAGCGGUGAAAUGCGUAGAGAUCUGGAGGAAUACCGGUGGCGAAGGCGGCCCCCUGGACAAAGACUGACGCUCAGGUGCAAAAGCGUGGGGAGCAAACAGGAUUAGAUACCCUGGUAGUCCACGCUGUAAACGAUGUCGACUUGGAGGUUGUGCCCUUGAGGCGUGGCUUCCGGAGCUAACGCGUUAAGUCGACCGCCUGGGGAGUACGGCCGCAAGGUUAAAACUCAAAUGAAUUGACGGGGGCCCGCACAAGCGGUGGAGCAUGUGGUUUAAUUCGAUGCAACGCGAAGAACCUUACCUACUCUUGACAUCCACGGAAUUCGCCAGAGAUGGCUUAGUGCCUUCGGGAACCGUGAGACAGGUGCUGCAUGGCUGUCGUCAGCUCGUGUUGUGAAAUGUUGGGUUAAGUCCCGCAACGAGCGCAACCCUUAUCCUUUGUUGCCAGCACGUAAUGGCGGGAACUCAAAGGAGACUGCCGGUGAUAAACCGGAGGAAGGUGGGGAUGACGUCAAGUCAUCAUGGCCCUUACGAGUAGGGCUACACACGUGCUACAAUGGCAUAUACAAAGAGAAGCGAACUCGCGAGAGCAAGCGGACCUCAUAAAGUAUGUCGUAGUCCGGAUUGGAGUCUGCAACUCGACUCCAUGAAGUCGGAAUCGCUAGUAAUCGUAGAUCAGAAUGCUACGGUGAAUACGUUCCCGGGCCUUGUACACACCGCCCGUCACACCAUGGGAGUGGGUUGCAAAAGAAGUAGGUAGCUUAACCUUCGGGAGGGCGCUUACCACUUUGUGAUUCAUGACUGGGGUGAAGUCGUAACAAG